rnacentral:rRNA from 1 species
UACGAAGGGGGCUAGCGUUGCUCGGAAUCACUGGGCGUAAAGGGAGCGUAGGCGGGUUUCUAAGUCAGGUGUUUAAUCCCGGGGCCCAACCCCGGACAGGCACUUGAAACUGGGAAUCUUGAAUAGUGGAGAGGUCAGUGGAAUUGGGGGUGUAGCGGUGGAAUGCGUAGAGAUCCCCAAGAACACCAGUUGCGAAGGCGGCUGACUGGACACAUAUUGACGCUGAGGCUCGAAAGCAUGGGGAGCAAACAGGG